AUGAUACGUCCACUGUGGCAUCCAUCAAAAUACAGCUCUUUGAAGGCAUUACAGCUCCGUACAUGGAGCAGGUCAUUCCCCUUGAAAUCAAAGCAUCUGCAUCACCUAAGGUACCUUGAUCUCUCAAGGAGUUAUAUCGAAGCACUUCCUGAAGAUAUAAGCAUUCUAUACAACCUGCAAACAUUGAAUGUCUCUGGCUGCCAUAAACUUUGUCGGCUUCCAAGGCAAAUGAAGUAUAUGACUGCUCUCCGUCAUCUCUACACUCAUAAUUGUCCAGAGAUGACGAACAUGCCCGCUGACCUCCAAAAACUCAUGGCACUACAGACACUUACAUGUUUUGUAGCAGGUCUUGCUGGCUCUGGGUGCAGUGGUGUUGGAGAGUUGCAACAGUUAAACCUUGGUGGUGAGCUACAACUACAUCAACUAGAGAAUGUGACAGAAGAUGAUGCAAAAUCUGCAAAUCUCGAAAACAAGAAGGAACUUCAAGAAUUGUCAUUAAAAUGGAAAGUUGGUGGUAGGGAUGAUGCAAGAGUGCUCGAGGGUCUCAAACCUCAUGAUGGGCUGCAGGCUACAAGGAUAGGUUCCUACGGAGGCACCACCUUUCCAACAUGGAUGGUUAUCUUGCUAAACAUGGUUGAGAUCCAUCUUUCCAAUUGUAAGAAACUUCAAUGGUUAUUCAAUUCUGGUACAUCCUUCACUUUUCCAAAUCUGAAGGUGUUUACACUACAAGGUCUGGAAUGUUUGGAACGUUUGUGUGAAAUAACAGAAGAGGAACAAGAUGAAGAGAUAAUAUUUCCUCAGCUUGAGAAGUUGUGUGUUACAGGUUGUCCAAAUCUGAGAAUGAAAGCUAAAGCACCAAAGCUGACUGGGUUAGACUUCGAGGGAGGUGGGGAAGAUAUAUUCCUGUGGUUAACGAGAUAUAUGACUUCAUUGACCAAUCUGAAGCUGCAGAACCGUAAAGACACAGAAACAACUUCAGCGGCAGUGGCGGAAGUGUCUGAUCUUAGUUUGGCACAAAUGGUGGAGGUCAAGGAAAGAUGGAACCAUCAUGAUUUCCCUCUGGCAUAUAUGAAGUUAAAUGGCUUGAAGUCAGGUGUAACUGAGCUAUGUGCAUGUUUUAAACAGCUUGAGAUGUUGAGCAUUAUCAAUUGUGCUGCGCUUGUCUACUGGCCAGAUAAAGAGUUCCAAAGCUUGAUAUCCUUGAGAAAACUAGAGAUUUGGCACUGCAAACAACUGGUUGGAUGUGCACAAGCUCCUACAAUCGAUCCAUCAACAAUAUCGGAACCCUCGAGUCAGCCCCUGCCACGUCUCGAGUCUCUCAUGAUAUGGUGUUGUGAAAGCAUGAUAGAGAUCUUCAAACUCCCUGCAUCCCUGAGGAGAAUGGAAAUUCGAUAUUGCAGUAAGCUCAGGUCCAUAUUUAGCAGGAGUCUGCAGCAGCAGGGAGAGUCAGCACCGUCGAUUCUUCAAGGGUCACCUGUACAUUCAGAGGUGUUAUCAUCAUCAGCUGUAGCCAGCAUGGUGGAACAUUUUCUCUUUCCGUGUUUAGAAGAGAUAGAAAUAAGAAGGUGUGACAGCUUAACAGGGGUCCUCGAUCUUCCCCCAUCUCUCAAGGAAAUUAGAGUUUAUGAGUGCUGCGAGUUGAGAUCAGUGGAAUCCCACACGGGAGAGUUCCCAUCACUGGAGUGCCUCUCCAUCUGGAAUUGCAAAACCCUGUCAUCCCUACCGGAUGGGCCGCAAUUAUACGCAUCUCUCCAGUCUCUUACAUUAGACAGCUGUCCUGGUAUAAAUAGGCUCCCUGCAGGCCUGCGGCAACGUCUAAGGAGCAUUGAGAAGAAAUAUCUAGAUGCCCGCUAUCAAGAGCCAAGUCUACUGAAGCCCAGGACAUGGAGAAAUGCCUUUCGCAGAGAUUAG
rnacentral:rRNA from 1 species